UAACAUUUACGUGUACUUCAGGAUCCACUUCUAAAAUCGCCUAAAAUGGGAAAUUUAAAUACAGCAGUAACAAACUAAAACUCCAUCGAAGCUAGAAGGUUUACUCUUUUUCAUUUACAAAAAUGCUUGGCUAUAAACAAAUACUUGGACAGAUUUUAAGAGAUACCCCAUCAUGGACUCGAGAUACUUUAUGUCUCUCUACAUUAUCAAAAUCUGUUUUUAGUUUUGUAAAUUGGUAAAUCAAAUUCUCAUUUUUUUUGCCUUGUCUUUCACCCUGACACAAGUUGCAAGAAGAGUUGAAGUCCAAGAUGAUUUGUGUCGCUGGGAUAAUCCAUUGUCUUCUUCGUCAUGAUUGUUCUUACUGUUCGUUCUUAGAAUAAUUAACUAGAAAUUUGAUUUUAGGAUAAUUGGAAUAAAAAUAAAAUGUGACU
rnacentral:lncRNA from 1 species